rnacentral:rRNA from 1 species
GAUGAACGCUGGCGGCGUGCCUAAUACAUGCAAGUCGAGCGAACGGACGAGAAGCUUGCUUCUCUGAUGUUAGCGGCGGACGGGUGAGUAACACGUGGAUAACCUACCUAUAAGACUGGGAUAACUUCGGGAAACCGGAGCUAAUACCGGAUAAUAUUUUGAACCGCAUGGUUCAAAAGUGAAAGACGGUCUUGCUGUCACUUAUAGAUGGAUCCGCGCUGCAUUAGCUAGUUGGUAAGGUAACGGCUUACCAAGGCAACGAUGCAUAGCCGACCUGAGAGGGUGAUCGGCCACACUGGAACUGAGACACGGUCCAGACUCCUACGGGAGGCAGCAGUAGGGAAUCUUCCGCAAUGGGCGAAAGCCUGACGGAGCAACGCCGCGUGAGUGAUGAAGGUCUUCGGAUCGUAAAACUCUGUUAUUAGGGAAGAACAUAUGUGUAAGUAACUGUGCACAUCUUGACGGUACCUAAUCAGAAAGCCACGGCUAACUACGUGCCAGCAGCCGCGGUAAUACGUAGGUGGCAAGCGUUAUCCGGAAUUAUUGGGCGUAAAGCGCGCGUAGGCGGUUUUUUAGUCUGAUGUGAAAGCCCACGGCUCAACCGUGGAGGGUCAUUGGAAACUGGAAAACUUGAGUGCAGAAGAGGAAAGUGGAAUUCCAUGUGUAGCGGUGAAAUGCGCAGAGAUAUGGAGGAACACCAGUGGCGAAGGCGACUUUCUGGUCUGUAACUGACGCUGAUGUGCGAAAGCGUGGGGAUCAAACAGGAUUAGAUACCCUGGUAGUCCACGCCGUAAACGAUGAGUGCUAAGUGUUAGGGGGUUUCCGCCCCUUAGUGCUGCAGCUAACGCAUUAAGCACUCCGCCUGGGGAGUACGACCGCAAGGUUGAAACUCAAAGGAAUUGACGGGGACCCGCACAAGCGGUGGAGCAUGUGGUUUAAUUCGAAGCAACGCGAAGAACCUUACCAAAUCUUGACAUCCUUUGACAACUCUAGAGAUAGAGCCUUCCCCUUCGGGGGACAAAGUGACAGGUGGUGCAUGGUUGUCGUCAGCUCGUGUCGUGAGAUGUUGGGUUAAGUCCCGCAACGAGCGCAACCCUUAAGCUUAGUUGCCAUCAUUAAGUUGGGCACUCUAAGUUGACUGCCGGUGACAAACCGGAGGAAGGUGGGGAUGACGUCAAAUCAUCAUGCCCCUUAUGAUUUGGGCUACACACGUGCUACAAUGGGCAAUACAAAGGGCAGCGAAACCGCGAGGUCAAGCAAAUCCCAUAAAGUUGUUCUCAGUUCGGAUUGUAGUCUGCAACUCGACUACAUGAAGCUGGAAUCGCUAGUAAUCGUAGAUCAGCAUGCUACGGUGAAUACGUUCCCGGGUCU